rnacentral:lncRNA from 1 species
CUUUUUCUUGAAGCUCAAGUCAAAGGCUAUAUUAUCCAUUUGCCUUUUGCCAUUGAUACUCUGUCACCAAAACCCGUGUCUCGAAUGGCAAGGGACUCGUCGGGCUUGCUCUUUGAGUUUGACAACAUUGUUAUCGAUAGGGUAAUACAACAUGUGGGAGUCUAUGUAGUCUCAUUUUUUGGUUUGAUAAUCUCCUCUGAAUUCGAACCUUCACCAGACUACCAGAUACAUAUUAAACCCAAAGUUAAGGGACCUUUUGAAUUUCCAUCCGAGAGGUAUCUUCUUCUUCUCCCUUUUUCACUCCUUACUAAGUCAUUGACCAACGUCGUGAAGUAUUAGCAGCAUGUGGUAUACCUUCACGCGGGAUUUUGUACUAGCAUGAACCUAAUGUUGAAGUGCUCUUUGGUGUUGCCAUUUUUCAAUUUCAAACCGUUGAAGAGUGAUGAAAUUAGCAAAGAUGUAAGCAUUUUUUCCAGAUUGUUGUGUGGAAAUGCCUCGAUCCGCUAUUAGGGUUUAUAUUGAAACUGCAAAAAUUCCCCGACAGCUGAAUCAAAAUAUUUAUUGCACACUUUGGGGUGGAAUCCUCACUGAUCCUGCAUACCAAUCAUCCGACGCUUACAGUAAUGGCACUGAGCCAAGCCGAGAUAGGAAAAUUGGUCAGAUCUUUGACAUUUUUCGGACGGGAAUGUAAAAAUUUUCAUUACAUCCAGCCAUUAAAAAUUCAAGAGCGCAAAAUUUCAAUAUAGAUUUAUGAGAUAAAUCUAAGAUUUGAGGCUAAAGAAAGCUAAGAACGUAAUGUAAUAGGGGAAAUCAAUUUGAUUGGUUAAUGAUUGGAUUUUUUUCUUCCAAGAGUGAUGCUGUG